GUGCAUUUGUUUAUGUUUCUGAAAUGUCUCCUCCCCGUUCUGUCAUUGGCUAUUGUUUCAUGUGUGUCUGAAUCGCCCUCAGCCGUCAGCCAUUACGAGGCUGAUUAUGUUUGUACAUAUACCGCGCGCCUCCCAGCACAUGGCGCGGAAUAUUGAAUGAGUUACUCACUUAGUUUAGAGUCCUCACAAUAGAUAACCAUAGUCUAAGUUUAGGUUCAUGUUUAGGUUCAUGUUUAGGUUCAUGUUUAUGUUCAUGUUUACGUUCAUGUUUACGUUCAUGUUUAGGUUCAUGUUUAGGUUCAUGUUUGGGUUCGUUAGUUUAGUUCACGCUGGUUUCUCCGCUACCAGUCCCGCGCUAUUGUUCAUGUUUCUUGUUUUGUUCCUCGACCCUGUAUUUCCGUGACCGCGACCUAGAUUCCUGCCUCGCCCCUUUAUGCCUGUUUGCCGAUCGCCUGAACUUUG
ensembl:lncRNA